rnacentral:rRNA from 1 species
GCCCAGACUCCUACGGGAGGCAGCAGUGAGGAAUAUUGGUCAAUGGCCGGAAGGCUGAACCAGCCAAGCCGCGUGAAGGACGAAGGUGCCAAGCAUUGUAAACUUCUUUUGUCAAGGGACAAAAUCAGGCUCGAGAGCCUGACCGAGGGUACUUGAAGAAAAAGCAUCGGCUAACUCCGUGCCAGCAGCCGCGGUAAUACGGAGGGCGCGAGCGUUAAUCGGAAUUACUGGGCGUAAAGCGCGCGUAGGCUGUUGUGUAAGUUGGGGGUGAAAUCCCACGGCUCAACCGUGGAACAGCCCUUGAUACUGCGCGACUUGAAUCCGGGAGAGGGUGGCGGAAUUCCAGGUGUAGGAGUGAAAUCCGUAGAUAUCUGGAGGAACAUCAGUGGCGAAGGCGGCCACCUGGACCGGUAUUGACGCUGAGGCGCGAAAGCGUGGGGAGCGAAAGGGAUUAGAUACCCCUGUA